CUCUGCUUGACUAGCUGAGAGGAGGUGCAUGGCCGUCGUCAGUUCGUACUGUGAAGCAUCCUGUUAAGUCAGGCAACGAGCGAGCCCCAUGCCAACAGUUGCCAGCAUGUCCUCCGGGAUGAUGGGGACACUGUUGGGACCGCCUCUGCUAAAGAGGAGGAAGGAAUGGGCAACGGUAGGUCAGCAUGCCCCGAAUUAUCCGGGCUACACGCGGGCUACAAUGGUCAGGACAAUGGGUAUCGACACCGAGAGGUGGAGGCAAUCUCCUAAACCUGUCCUUAGUUCGGAUUGUGGGCUGCAACUCGCCCACAUGAAGCUGGAAUCCGUAGUAAUCGCGUUUCAAAAUAGCGCGGUGAAUAUGUCCCUGCUCCUU
rnacentral:rRNA from 1 species